rnacentral:tRNA from 1 species
UCUAAUGUGGCAGAAUAGUGCAAUGAAUUUAAGAUUCAUAUAUAAAGAUUUAUCUUUCAUUAGAA